AGAUUGAACGCUGGCGGCAUGCUUUACACAUGCAAGUCGAACGGCAGCGCGGGGCAACCUGGCGGCGAGUGGCGAACGGGUGAGUAAUAUAUCGGGACGUACCCAAGAGUGGGGGAUAACGUAGCGAAAGUUACGCUAAUACCGCAUACGAUCUAAGGAUGAAAGCAGGGGACCGCAAGGCCUUGUGCUCCUGGAGCGGCCGAUAUCUGAUUAGCUAGUUGGUAGGUAAAGCCUACAAGGCACGAUC
rnacentral:rRNA from 1 species